rnacentral:rRNA from 1 species
CCCUACGGGGGGCAGCAGUGGGGGAUAUUGCACAAUGGGGGGAACCCUGAUGCAGCGACGCCGCGUGAAGGAAGAAGUAUCUCGGUAUGUAAACUUCUAUCAGCAGGGAAGAAAAUGACGGUACCUGACUAAGAAGCCCCGGCUAACUACGUGCCAGCAGCCGCGGUAAUACGUAGGGGGCAAGCGUUAUCCGGAUUUACUGGGUGUAAAGGGAGCGUAGACGGCGAUGCAAGUCUGAAGUGAAAGGCGGGGGCCCAACCCCCGGACUGCUUUGGACACUGUAUGGCUGGAGUGCAGGAGAGGUA